AUGAACGCUGGCGGCGUGCCUAAUACAUGCCGGUCGAGCGAACAGACGAGGAGCUUGCUCCUCUGACGUUAGCGGCGGACGGGUGAGUAACACGUGGAUAACCUACCUAUAAGACUGGGAUAACUUCGGGAAACCGGAGCUAAUACCGGAUAAUAUAUUGAACCGCAUGGUUCAAUAGUGAAAGACGGUUUUGCUGUCACUUAUAGAUGGUUCCGCGCCGCAUUAGCUAGUUGGUAAGGUAACGGCUUACCAAGGCAACGAUGCGUAGCCGACCUGAGAGGGUGAUCGGCCACACUGGAACUGAGACACGGUCCAGACUCCUACGGGAGGCAGCAGUAGGGAAUCUUCCGCAAUGGGCGAAAGCCUGACGGAGCAACGCCGCGUGAGUGAUGAAGGUCUUCGGAUCGUAAAACUCUGUUAUUAGGGAAGAACAAAUGUGUAAGUAACUAUGCACGUCUUGACGGUACCUAAUCAGAAAGCCACGGCUAACUACGUG
rnacentral:rRNA from 1 species